GCUUGUUGCUGCUUAAGGCAGAAGAGGUUGAAAGAAUUUCUGUCAUUGAAUUAUGGAAUUUUGCUGUCUUUAAUGUACUGUAAUCUAGUGACUUGAUGCAUGUUGCAACCUUUUCAAACCUAACGUUAAAAUCAAUUUUUUUUAUGUCGCUGGAUUAUAGUGUAGAGCAGGGGUGGGCAUAUGCAGACCCAUAAACAAUUUAAUCUGGCCAAACUGGGUUGAUUAUAUUUAGAGAGUACAUAACAAAUAAGUUGACCUUUGACUAGGUAAGGAACGGGGAACUCCAGGCCUGGUCUAAGUGCAGAAAGUUAUUUUGCAUUCAUGUGGUGUUGGAAGAUUUAUUAUUUUUCUGAUGUUCAUGUGUGUUUUCUGAUUUGGACAGUUUUGUUUUCCCGAUCAUUUCGACACCACAUGAACGUGGCAUUUGUUUAAGUUUUCUUUUUGCCUUUGUAGCCCAUGUGGUGUGUUUGUUUUAUUAAUUUAACCAAAAUCUUCAUUUCUAUCAUUAUUUUGUUAAUUUGAAAAGUUCAGACCAGGUACUUUUAUUUUGGUAGUCGCGCUACUUCCUCUCUGUUCGCGGCAUUCCCGUCAGUCUUCGGGAGCGGCUGAGAGGAGGUUGGAUUGAGGAAGAAUGAGCUGUCCUGGAUUUUGGGACCUCGUGCUGGAAACAAGAUGGCGAGCUACCAAUGAAGACGAUCCAGAGAACUUCUUGUGAACAACAGAACACUCUAGAACGCGUGUCGGAGUUGAGGCCCGGUGGCCGGACCCAGCCCUCAGUUUGAAUGUAUCCGGCCCCCCAGAUCAUUUUACAGUAUAUUAUUGUUAUUAACAUCCCAAUGUUAUCUUGUAACAUCCCAGUUAACAGAAUUGACAGAAUAUAUAUUUUAUGGAGAGCGAGAAAAUGAAAGUUAUUUAAGGCUUAGGUUGAUUUAUUC